rnacentral:rRNA from 1 species
UACGAAGGGGGCUAGCGUUGCUCGGAAUCACUGGGCGUAAAGGGUGCGUAGGCGGGUCUUUAAGUCAGGGGUGAAAUCCUGGAGCCCAACUCCAGAACUGCCUUUGAUACUGAGGAUCUUGAGUUCGGGAGAGGUGAGUGGAACUGCGAGUGUAGAGGUGAAAUUCGUAGAUAUUCGCAAGAACACCAGUGGCGAAGGCGGCUCACUGGCCCGAUACUGACGCUGAGGAGCGAAAGCGUGGGGAGCGAACAGG